rnacentral:rRNA from 1 species
AGCCUGAUCCAGCCAUGCCGCGUGUGUGAAGAAGGCCUUUUGGUUGUAAAGCACUUUAAGCGAGGAGGAGGCUCUUAAGGUUAAUACCCUUGAUGAGUGGACGUUACUCGCAGAAUAAGCACCGGCUAACUCUGUGCCAGCAGCCGCGGUAAUACAGAGGGUGCGAGCGUUAAUCGGAUUUACUGGGCGUAAAGCGUGCGUAGGCGGCUGAUUAAGUCGGAUGUGAAAUCCCUGAGCUUAACUUAGGAAUUGCAUUCGAUACUGGUCAGCUAGAGUAUGGGAGAGGAUGGUAGAAUUCCAGGUGUAGCGGUGAAAUGCGUAGAGAUCUGGAGGAAUACCGAUGGCGAAGGCAGCCAUCUGGCCUAAUACUGACGCUGAGGUACGAAAGCAUGGGGAGCAAACAGGAUUAGAUACCCUGGUAGUCCAUGCCGUAAACGAUGUCUACUAGCCGUUGGGGCCUUUGAGGCUUUAGUGGCGCAGCUAACGCGAUAAGUAGACCGCCUGGGGAGUACGGUCGCAAGACUAAAACUCAAAUGAAUUGACGGGGGCCCGCACAAGCGGUGGAGCAUGUGGUUUAAUUCGAUGCAACGCGAAGAACCUUACCUGGUCUUGACAUAGUAAGAACUUUCCAGAGAUGGAUUGGUGCCUUCGGGAACUUACAUACAGGUGCUGCAUGGCCGUCGUCAGCUUGUGUCGUGAGAUGUUGGGUUAAGUCCCGCAACGAGCGCAACCCUUUUCCUUAUUUGCCAGCACUUCGGGUGGGAACUUUAAGGAUACUGCCAGUGACAAACUGGAGGAAGGCGGGGACGACGUCAAGUCAUCAUGGCCCUUACGACCAGGGCUACACACGUGCUACAAUGGUCGGUACAAAGGGUUGCCACCUAGCGAUAGGGUGCUAAUCCCAGAAAGCCGAUCGUAGUCCGGAUUGGAGUCUGCAACUCGACUCCAUGAAGUCGGAAUCGCUAGUAAUCGCGGAUCAGAAUGCCGCGGUGAAUACGUUCCCGGGCCUUGUACACACCGCCCGUCACAC